rnacentral:lncRNA from 1 species
UCCAGGCUGAGCCCUCGGGGCUGGUCCAGGCUGAGCCCUCGGGGCUGGUCCAGGCUGAGCCCUCGGGGCUGGUCCCGGCUGAGUCCUCGGGGCUGGUCCUGGCUGAGCCCUCGGAGCUGGUCCCGGCUGAGCACCCCCAGCAGAACCAACUGUGCCAACACUGCGCCAUAGCUUCCCGUCUGCGCAGCUUGUCCAAUGUGUUAGCUAGGCUCCUCCCCACAAAAACUAUUAGGCACCCGCUCUGCUCCAGUGUGCCAGUAGCUCCACCCUGGCUCUCACGAGUUCAUAAACUCCUCUGUGUCAUGAGAAGUCCCACAGAGAAAUGGAAGUUUCUCUUCAGGCCCAGAUUGGGCUGAGCAGAGGAGGAUUGUUCAUGUGGUACGGAGCAACUCAGGCAACAAAGCCAUGUACGAGUCCAGGAAGCCCCGGUCCUCCAGUCCAGAUUCCUGUUUGUCAGCAUCCUCUCUACUGAA